GUUUUGUAUAAUAGUAUUUUUGGUUUUAAAAUUGAAUAAAAGCGGGGACUGUUCGCCGUCCGAUAAGUUAUUCCGGUAUGUCAAAUCCCAAAAGUUAACAUCAGUAUCUGCACCUCCGGAAACCAGAAUUUUGUUAUCAUAUGAAAAAGAAAGAGAAUAAACGAUACUAGAGUGUUUAACGAAUGAAACGUGCUGAUUACUACUUCUGAGAUCCCACACUUUUAUUAUGCCCGAUUCAUCAGCAGAUGCCAACGAUAAGCCAUCAGCAGACAUACACAAUGCAGAAACAGGAGAAUGAUGGGCAUUAAACACGCGAACUGUUCCACCAGUGCGAACGUCCCACAUUCUAGUUGUAUGAUCACUAGAUCCUGUAGCAAGAUAAGCUGCAUUCGGAUGAAAUGAAACACACUAAAUCAAGGUUAGUUACUGCUCAUAAGAAUUGUUAGUUAAAUAAAGUUCCUUACAUCCACAUCAUUUUGAUGUCCAACAAAUACUCUCAAAGGUGCUGCAUGCUCAACAUCCCAUAGACGUGCUGUUUGGUCGUGCGAGGCUGUUGCAAAAUAAUAGCCGAAAGGGGAAAACUGAACGUCCCAAAUCGGCGCAUUAUGACCAGCAUAUUUGACAAUAGUGGACUUAGUAUCCUUGGACCACAAACGAGUAAAGCCAUCCUCAGAGCAUGACAGUAUAAACUCUUUUUGAGGAGAGAUGCUCACUCCAAAAACUGGUCUCGUAUGUCCAAUUAAAGAGGACUUUUGUAAAGGCUCAUUUUGACUUCCCACUAAUGGUUGCGGACCAUUGUUAGUAGAACUGUACAAAUGAAUUGAAGAGUCUGCGCAACCCAGAGCGAACAUAGAGGCGUCAUCAGAGAAUGCAGCACAAUUUACAGCGGAAAGUGUAUUGUGCAUGGUAUACAUGAAAACACUAGGAUCCGUAGCAUUUUUUCCGAGUAUUAAAGAAUUCUGUUCGCUUUCCAGUAAAGAAACAAAAUAGUCUAUGUCCUUCAUUUUGGUUGGAGGUAAUGGGGGAUCAGAUGGUGAUUCUAGAGUUGAUUCGUUGAUUAGAUUUUCUUUUUCAGUCAGCAAUUCGACAAGGUUCUUUGCAGGAUGCAAUAUUUUAUUCAGAGCUUCAUUUCUUCCCUCCACGUCUUUAUCUUUUACUUCUAACAAGUUUUUUAAAGUUGUGACAACUUCUUCUGACAAGGGACGUAAUCCAAGUUGUAUGCUUUGCUUGUUGUAAUCAAGAAGCUGUUCGGAAUGGCCAGGAAUUCCUUCUUGCUCACUAAUUAUUGUCUGUUCAUUUUUAGCUUCGUCCAUUUCAUAGACCGCUUGCACAUUAGGGUCCUCCUUGCCCUCGACUUGAGGCAUAGUAAUUUUUAUAUCAAUGUACUGAUU